AUCGGUCAAUGGUUCUGCUUAUAUUUGCACAAUUGACAUGACAGAAAGCUGGAUCGAUAGCACUCCUAACUUCCUAAUCAGUAGCAUGUUGACGGACUGUUCACCGAAUGCUUUUAUUUAAUAAAGCUCUCAGUAAUUUCCCUGCAAAAAGAAGAAAAUCGAUAGCCAACCGAACCGUUUGAACAUUCUCCCCGUGUUGAAAUCAAAAAUCAAGAGCGCGCUGCUCUAUCAAAGGUAAUCAGCGGAAAUCCAACCGCCCCGUCGCCUUCCCAUCCCACGUCCGUCCGUGGCACGCGCGCCCACCUCCCCCACUAAGCAGCGAGCGGAAUUCAAAGCGUGGUCAAACCCGCGCGCACUCCAUCUCAUCAAAGGGAAGUUACCGG
rnacentral:lncRNA from 1 species